rnacentral:rRNA from 1 species
AGCGUUUGAUCCUGGCUCAGGACUAACGCUGACGGUGUGCCUAAUACAUGCAAGUCGAACGGGCAGUGUAUUGGUGGCAACACUUUUAUACUGCUAGUGGCGAACGGGUGAGUAACGCGUGGGUAAUCUGCCUUAAAGACUGGGAUAACUCCUCGAAAGAGGUGCUAAUACCGGAUGGUCUAUAUUUAUCCCAUGAUUUAUAUAGUAAAGGUAGCCGCAAGGCCUCUGCUUUAAGAUGAGCUCGCGUCCUAUUAGCUUGUUGGUGGGGUAAUGGCCUACCAAGGCAAUGAUGGGUAGCCGGUCUGAGAGGAUGGUCGGCCACACUGGGACUGAGAUACGGCCCAGACUCCUACGGGAGGCAGCAGUAGGGAAUAUUGCGCAAUGGGCGAAAGCCUGACGCAGCGACACCGUGCGAAGGAUGAAGGUCUUCGGAUCGUAAACUUCUGUCAAUUGGGGACGAAGGUACUGGGGUUAAUAGCCUUCAGUACUGACGGUACCUAAAAAGGAAGUCUCGGCUAACUCCGUGCCAGCAGCCGCGGUAAGACGGGGGAGGCAAGCGUUGUCCGGAAUUAUUGGGCGUAAAGAGCUCGUAGGUGGUAUAUUAAGUCAUUUGUGAAAACUUCAGGCUUAACCUAAAGAAUGCAAGUGAUACUGGUAUACUUGAGCACAGUAGAGGAAAAUGGAAUUCCUGGUGUAGCGGUGAAAUGCGCAGAUAUCAGGAAGGACACCAGUGGCGAAGGCGGUUUUCUGGGCUGUUGCUGACACUGAGGAGCGAAAGCUAGGGGAGCGAACAGGAUUAGAUACCCUGGUAGUCUUAGCUGUAAACGAUGGACACUAGGUGUGGGGAGUUAUCGACGCUCUCCGUGCCGAAGCAAACGCAUUAAGUGUCCCGCCUGGGGAGUACGGUCGCAAGACUAAAACUCAAAGGAAUUGACGGGGGCCCGCACAAGCGGCGGAGCAUGUGGCUUAAUUCGACACAACGCGAAGAACCUUACCAAGGUUUGACACCAUAUUGAAGUUAGUAGAAAUAUUAACGCCCGCAAGGGCAGUAUGACAGGUGGUGCAUGGUUGUCGUCAGCUCGUGUCGUGAGAUGUUGGGUUAAGUCCCGCAACGAGCGCAACCCUCGUCCCAUGUUGCCAUCAGGUUAAGCUGGGCACUCUUGGGAUACUGCCAGUGUAAAACUGGAGGAAGGUGGGGAUGACGUCAAAUCAUCAUGCCCUUUAUAUCUUGGGCUGCACACGUGCUACAAUGGCCUGUACAAAGAGCUGCGAUACCGCGAGGUGGAGCGAAUCUCAAAAAACAGGUCUAAGUCCAGAUUGAAGGCUGAAACUCGCCUUCAUGAAGUCGGAGUCGCUAGUAAUCGUGGAUCAGCACGCCACGGUGAAUACGUUCCCGGGCCUUGUACACACCGCCCGUCACACCACGAAAAUCGGAUACACCCGAAGCCAGUGGGCUAACCCGCAAGGGGGGCAGCUGUCGUAGGUGGAGUCGGUGAUUGGGGUGAAGUCGUAACAAGGUA